rnacentral:lncRNA from 1 species
AGGAAAAAAGGAUUAGCCACUGAAAAAUAAGAGAAGAAAGGGGAGCUAAGGAAAACAGGGGAAGGCUUCGGCUAAAACAGAGAAAAAGGAGAGGAGGUCAUCGGCUGAACGGAAAAAGGGAGGAGGUUUUGGAGAAAGGAAAAAGAAAACAGAGCAAAAAGAGAGAGAGAGAGCCAGAGAGUAGACGGAAGAAAAAUUGAAAAAAGAGGGGAGGAAAAAGGGAAGAGGUUCGACAAGAAAACAGAGCAAAGGAAAACCAAGAAUCGAAGGAAUCAGCAAGGAGUUGCUGUUGCCGCUGCUGCCACCAGAAUCCACCACCACCACCCGCAAAUCCUCACCGCAAAAGCUUGGUAAGGUUCCCUCUCUCCAUUCCUCUCUUUAAUUUUGCUAGCGGAUGGGUGAAAAUGAGAGGUAUUGACCUGAUUUUCUCUUCCUUUCUUCUUUUUAGUAAAACUUUUAUCCUUUUCUGACGUCUAUGUAUUCAUGUGGGGCUAUUAUUUCUGUUGUGUGUGAGAAAUUUGAUUGGGAUGCUGUAAAUUUUGGAGCUGAUUAACUUCAAAUUGAGCAAAGGAUUGGCGAAAUUCUUUAUAACCCUGACCUGUUCGAUGAAAUGCCCAGUUGAGAGUUCUACUUGAAGAUGAUUUUGCCUGCGUUUUGCGUGUGAGAAAAAGGAACAUUCGGCUAGUUCAGUGUUUGUCCGAACAUGAUAGCUAAUUUUUUAUGGUAGAAAACAGAGUCUUGAGAGGCUCUGACGUGCUGGUUUUUUGCACUUUUUCUGUUUUUAUGCUGCCCUAUGUUUGAGUCCGAAUUGAUGUUAUGAGAGGGGGGUGUUGUGAGUUUCAUUGUCAGUUGGGAAUGGUUAGAAUUGAAACCAGAUUUCUGGUAUUGCUCUGAUCGCAAGGAAAGCUGAAAUGCUAACUGAUGUUAGCUCGUUGGAGAAGGCAAUUACUUGUCUAAAAUUGCAUUUUCAGUCCCUCCAUUUUCAUUUUAUUUUGUAAUUUAGCCCCAAAUCUUUUAGAACUUCAUAAUUCGACCCCAAAACCUUCAUAAUUCAUUCAAUUAGGUCGCUAUUUUUGUUGCAUUUGAACCCCCAACCUUCGCCUUAUUCUGAUAUGACUCAAAAAAUUGGAAAAAGUUAAAGUUAUUUCGUCCUUUCCGACUUUAAUCAUCUUUUCAUUUUUAAGUAGUCUUUUGGGGUAGAUUAAUUCUUGGUUUUAGGUUAUAAUUGUGGCUUAAUAAUUUUAGUUGAUUUUUCCAUGUUGGGUUUUAGUGAAAUAGGUGAUUUGGGUUGAGAGGUCAUUUUGCUUGGGUUUAAGGGAAUGGGUUUAGUUUAUUAUUUUUGGUUUUGGUUUGGGCUAGAGGAUAGAAGCCCACCGGUUUUAUUGGCUAAUCUUCGGGUCAUAAAUGAUAGAUUGGCCCAUUUCGUUGGUUCUGAGUUUGCGUUGGGCUGGGGAGUUUUCGGUCCAAACAAAUAAGGAAAUGGCCCAAAUGACCUGUUAGGUGAAGAAGUCUGGUGACGAAUUUCCAUUCCAGCCCCCUAACUUUUGAGUAUUUUCUCUAUGGCCCUAAAAAUUUUUAACUUCUUUCAAUUAGGUCCCUAAUUUAAUUGCAAAUAGGCCAAAACUUUAAUGGUGGCCCCGAAUCUUUGAUGGUUUUUAAUGGGCCAAAACUUUUGAGUGCUUUAAGGGGCCUCUUUUGGUCUUUGAUGGUGGCCCCGAAUCUUUGAGAUAAUUAUAAUUCGACCCCUAAAACUUUAUUAAUUUGUGCAAUUAAGUCCCUGCUUGUUUUAAUUUCUUAAAUGUAGGUUGUUUACAUGAUUUAAUUGAUUCAAUUUCAUGUUUAUUUUCAUUUUUUAUAAGUGUUUGUUAAUUAAAGUGAUGCCUUGACCUUUUUUAUUUUUUUUUUGGAGGGUAAAUAAGAAAAUUUUCACUUUCUUAGGUCACCAAUUCAAGGGAGGUAUACUCUAUCCUUUAUUUUUUAUUUCAUCAUAUUUGAUCUUAUGUGCCCUUAUGUGACUUUUAUGUGUAAUUGCAUGUCCUUUUAUGGGCUUUUUAUGUUUUAUUUCAUUUAUUUAUUGUUUUGAUUAUAUAUAUAUUUUUAAAUUUAAUUUGUAAUUAUUUGGAAGGCAAUUAAAUGCAAAAAUUGUAAUAGUUAGGUUAUUAUUUUACUUCAUUCUUUAUUCCCUUUAGAUUGUAGCUAGGGCCUUCAAAUGUAAUAGUUAGGGUUUUAUUUGCUUUGUGUGUUUUGCAUGCUUAUGUGUUUACGUGUUACUCGCUUUUUUAGCAUCUUGCAUCUAGAUAUCAUGCUUAUGUGCUAUAUGUAAUUUAUGUGUUUAUUUGCUUUAUUAUGUUUUACAUGAUUUAUUUGAUUGUAAUAAAUGCAUGACGUCACCACACUAGUCUCACGCUAGUCGUGGCUCCCUUUUUCUGAUAUCACACUAGUCCAAUGCCAAUUGUGGCUCCGUUUCUGAUUCCACACUAGUCCAACGCUAGUUGUUGCUCCUUUUUCCGAGUUCUCACUAGUUCAAUGCUAGUGAGAACUUAUAGACAUGGGUUAGUCCAACGUUAGACCCUUAGGAACCAUCCUUGCGUUAGAUCACAUUUGUGUGACAAUCAAUACAUUUCAUGUAUAUUUUUUUACUUUUUAGGAUCCUUAUCACUUUUGCAUGAUAUUUUCGCUGUAUAUAUAUAUCUCUCAUCCCCAUGUGAGACAUAACAUUAGACUUGCAUUUCAUUUAAGGAAAGUUAGGAGUAGAUUAGUGCAUUUGCUUGAUUAAAUUAGGGACAUUACCCCUCGAAUAUGGGAUAUGGACGAGUGUGAUUUUUUAGGCUUAACAUUCUCUCUGUUAAAGGAAAAAUUAAAGUCACGAGUAUGAGUUUCCUGCCCCCAUUAUGGUGCAUUUUCUUAGGUCAUUUGUGGAUUAUUAUUGUUUUUUCUUUCUUUUCUUCGAGUCUCAUCUUUUUCAAAUUUCAUGACCUUUUCAAAAAAUCACUUUUGGACACCGCAAUUAGUGCGAUUAGUGCCAAUCGAGUUUUGAAGAAACAUAUUUAUUCUUUCGAUAACCAUUAGGUCUAGAUUUGCAUCCAUAUAUCCAAAUGUGAUAAAUUCUUAGAUUAAAAUAAGAAAAUUUUUUGAUUAAAUCACGCAACUGGCCUUGGUUAGGUGGAAAGGGUGCCUUGAAUUAUUAUUCUUGCCUUCCCUUUCUUCAAAUGUGACUCCCGAUCCUUUUUUUGUGAUUUUUGAAGACUGAGAGUCGUUUAAAAAGGGGUCUGCUCUACUUUUUCUUUAAAAAAAAAUUCAUUUUAAGUGACUUGAUACACUUUAACCCAAUAUCAAGUAGUGAUUCCUAUUUUUAUUAAAAAUCCUUUUUAAACUAUUUUUUGGUCAAAAUCGUCGCACUUUCAAGUACCAUUUAGGCCAAUUUUCUUUAUUUAUUUUCUAAGAAAUCAAAAACUUCCUUUUCACUCAAAAUAAAUCAAAAACCCAUUUUUCACACAAAAUAAAUCCAAAAUUCAUUUUUAUAAACUCAUUAUUUUUUUCAUUUAAAAAAAUGGGGCGUGACACCCGUCUCAUCCACUGGAUAAUGGCGGAUGGUGGUUGCGGCACCGUCUUGUGCAGCGGUAGUCAUGGGGAACGCCCUUUCCAUUGAUUCAGCUAGGGAUUUUGGUUCAGUUUCAAUGUUUCGGGGGGAGCCCGCCCUUCACAUUUCUCACUAGGAGAUAUCACUGUUAGCUGCUCCCUUUCGUAACACGCUGAUUGGCAGAUUCGGUCAUCACAGGCCUUCUACGGACAUGAUGCGGAAAUUCUUUGUUUCACUGGGUUUGAAAGGAGAAUGCUUGAUGAUAGCCAUAUCCUAAUUUAGCUAACGCUGGAGGAAGACUAUGCGAGGUUAUUCGCCCAUUCGUUCGUGGUUUGUUCAUAAUAUCCCAAUGUUGAUUUCAUACAUUGACUAUUUUUGAUGGGUAAGAUGAGACAAUUUUUUCCACCAAAUCACCACUGCACUUAAAGCUUGAAAGGCUUUUUCCACGGAUCUCUAGUAAGUUCAAUUCAUCAAAUGUCCGACUUGCCCACGUGAAAAUAGCAAGUGUAAGAGCACGUGAAAAUAGUAUUGGCAGAGAGUUGAGUUUGGUGUCCAAAAAAAAAUCUAAAAUAAAUUCAAUGGACUUGGAAAUAAUUAGUUCAUAAGCUUUCCGAAAUCAACCAGUGAUACUACUGCCCAACAAUUUCACUGAUUUCAUUUCUUCAUUGGCUUUUGAAAACAAUACCACCAUUAAGAAUUAACCUUUUCCUAUUGCCCUGGAUUAAAAACCAAAGUGGAGACAGCGGGCAUAAUUAACCCACUAUUUCUCUCAGCUAUAGCCUCACCCACACCUAUUAUAAUUCUCUUCCACUCCCUCUAUUACCAUCCAAUUAGCGUCACUUUUACCCCAACUAGCCCCAAGCAAUUCCAACCAGCGACAACAUAAAAAGAUAUAUGCACCCGCACAUAAAAAGAUAUAUGCACCUACUGAUGAUUGUCACCGUGAAUAACAUAUGUAUAAAAAUAACUUCAACAAUUGCAACCAUGAAUCAAAUAGCAACACAAGAAGAAAAUGAGUAAAGCCAUGACUCAAACAGCCAACCAAAAAAAUUUGCCAGAGAAUAUUUUGAGAAAAAAAAUUAGGGGAAAAUAAUUGGAGCAAAAAUUAGGGAAUGGCCGCAAGCCAUGAGAUACCCUACCUGAGAGUUGGUGGAGAGCACAUCAAUCCCUUUCAGCAUUGAACGCACAAUUGGUCUAAAGUUUUGAAGAGUUUGAACGCACAAUUGGUGGAGAGUUUUCUUUCUUCUUUGGAGAGUGUAAAUAGCAAGUGUAAGAAGGUGAAGAGUAAUAUUGAAGACGUCUAGUACUAGUCAAAUAUAAGACCAUCCAACUCAAAAUAAGUUCCCACUUUGUAAUUACAAGUACUGCGCCAUAUUUUCCAUUUUUUUGUUUGAACAAAUUUUUGGUACUACUCAACAAGACCAUCCAUGUCAAUUGUUAACUUUAAGUUUUAUUUAAAUUUACCUAUAUAUAUUUUUAUUACUAAUAUAUUUACGAACAACUGUUAGCUUUAAGUUAAUUUACUAAUAUAUUUACACUCCCUCCCCUGAAUCAUCAAACCAUUUCUCCUCCUUUACUAAUAUAUUUAUAAUCACUAUUAUUUCUUAAUAUAUUUAUUAAAAAAUUCUAAUGGGUGGAAAAUUUUGUUAAAUUUAAACAACUAGUAAAAAAGUACUCUUGCUCAGGUUGUAAUAGUUUAUAUAGGUAUUCUAACUAGAAACUUUUGUUAAUUUUUUAGUUAAAAACCUAUUGCAAUUUGAGUAACUAUGACUAGUUCAAUAAAUCACCAAAUUUACAAGAAAAUUAAAUUGAUAUUAAGGUAAGUGAUGAUAUGGUGUUGUCACUAACUACACCAUAGUUUUAUUGACAAUAACGGGUUGUCAGUAAACUUAUACAGUGACAACAAUGAAAAGUUGUCAAAGAAAGAAGUAGAAAUACUGACGACUUUUAUUAAGUUGUCAUUAUCGUAAAACCUGUGCUUUCAGAGUCCUAUGGUGCGAAGUAAUUUUGUGACGACAAUUAGGAGCUGUAAUUGAAUAGUUAGCUGCUUUGAGUCAAUUGUGACAACCUUCAAUGUUGUGUCCAAAGAGCCCUAUUCCGUGACAACUUUCUGUUGUUACUAGAAAAUAUUGUCACUGAUGACCCUUUUUCUUUUAGUGUGUAUGGCAUCAUUACACUCGAAGGUUUGGUUUCAUUACACUAGAGGAGGUUCCUCUUUCUUACUUUCUUGGUUUCUAUUGCAUUCACGGGUCUUAGCAGGCCAUUUUUGGAUUCUUCUUCCUUUGGUGGUUCAAUGGUUCAAAUGGAAAGGCUGCAAUAACGCUCGCUUCCAAGGUGCUUCCUUCAUAGCAUCUCAAGUGAAUUUUCAGGCGGACCAAUUUAUGGAACAAAUGGGAGCUGCGAAGUUUUUUGAAGCCUCUCAAUUCUCUUGUGAUUGGGACUACCUGUGGUUUGGUUUUGUUCCUCGAUCACGGUUUAAAUCCAAGUUCUUUUCGGUUUCUUGGUCUAAACCAACAACCCAUUCUCUCAAGCUGAAUACAGACGCGAGCGUAUCUCAGGUAGGGGCUGCAGGCGGUCGAUUGCUUCGUAAUCAUGAUGGGGAUUUAGUUUUUUCUUUUUUCAAAGAGUUUGGAGAUGUUGAUGUUUUGAUGGUGGAAGAUUUGUCGUUGCUGAUCGGUCUUCAAUUUUGUAAGGAGUGUAUGUCCUACAAUGUUCUUGUGGAGGUCGACUCAAAGGUUCUUGUUCAAUUGGUGUCUUCUGGGUCAAUUGCUAGGUGGUCUUUAAUUGGCACUUUGUAGCAUAUACGGGCACUUCUGAACGAGCUACAUGCUUCUUUGGUUCACAUAUAUAGGGAAGCCAACUCCUCAGCAGACAUUUUGGCAUCUGCUAGGCUAGAGUGCGAUUUGGUUUCCACAGUAUCCGAGCACCUACCAAUUGCACUUAAAUCCAGUGUGCAUCUUAACAAGUCCUUAGUCCUCAUUUGCGCAAACACCGUAUAAGGGAGCAGUACACCUCUUGCUUUUGUUUGUGUAGCUUAUAGAAGAAUUUUUGCCAACUCAUUGUAGUCUUUUAUGGUUUUGAAUAAAGCAACGGACUGGCAUCCCAUUAUUGUGUAUGGGGUUUCCCAAAAAAAAAAAAAUUCUAGGGUUUAAUAUGCACUUGAACUAUUUGUGUUAUUACAAAUGACAUCUUUAUCAUAUUGAUUGCUUAUAUUUAUGUAAGUAUGAUAAAACCCUUAGAGUAAACUUUUGAUGAAAUCAUAAGAGUUAUGAUGGUAAGGUUCAUUCGAUUAUAAAUAAGGUUUAUUCUUAAAUAUCCAUAGUCAAAGUAUUAAUAAGAAAGGGCAUUAUUAGUACAGUUAAACUAGCAUAUACUAUGUUGUUUCUAUAUGAUAAGUAGUAGAUCUCAUCAACUAGCAUAUGGGACAUCUAAGGUAGUAUACGGGUGUUUGAUAGGAUGAUCAAAUUCACUAUAUUGAUCCGUAUAGAGAUAUCCUUUUUUUUUUUUAAAUUUAUAUAUGUUAUUGAUAGGCAAGAGAAUAGGUGUUACAAUGUAGUUUGAGAAGGCCAUUGUGACAACCUGUAAGGGAAAAUAAAUAAGGAGUACUUACUCUCUUACAUCAUGUCAUUAUUUUUCCCAACAGUGAAGAGUGUAUUUUUUGAACCAAAAAGGACUAAGCGUGGAAGUUUCUUCUUUACGUGCUUGACAUGCGAGAAAUGCCUCGAGUCUAGCCGUGUAAUCCCUAUAGUUCAUGACUAUAGUGAGUGCGCAUCAAAGGUGCCCAAUUUUUGUAAGUGUGCGGCUUGUCUUGCAAGGUCAUCCGCCUCCGUAUUAACCUCUCUGUAGUAGUGUGACAGGGCGAAUACAACCUAGUUUAGCAAAUUUUGAAUCCCUAUGACCUCCACAUCAAUUCUUCAUGGCAUCAAUUCUUCAUGGCCAGUUGGGCAACCCUUUAAAAAUGUGCAACAAGACCAGAGAGUCCAUCUCUACCUCCACGUGAUUGCAGCCCAAGGUGAUACAUAGUUAUAGACCUUCGAGUAGUGCCUUUUAGCUUGCAUGUUCGUUUGAUACUCAUAGUGUGAGGCAAAAGUAGCUAAGACUUGGCCACUUGAGUCUCUAACAAUCCCACCACUACUCGAGUUUCUCGGAUUCCCAGGUGAGGCACCAUCAACAUUCAGUUUUACGAACCGAUCUGUAGGCAGCGACCAAGCGAUAGUUAAGCAUCUUGUGGGCUUGGAACACUUGGAGAUGUGUAACCAACGCAGUGGCUAGAGCUCCAGUCCAUUGUGGCUGUCCGAGGCAAAAAAGUGAGCGAAGGAGAUGAAAUGAAGCAACUCAAGUAUGAGGUGAAAAACCUAGUUAGCCGUCAAUACAGCUCCCUCAUAGAUGGCUUUAUUCCUAGCUUUCCAUAGUUCCCAACAAAUUAGUAGUGGGAUAAUUUGAGUCAGCUCAGUUUGUAGCAACCCCCUGGAGCAGUGUGACCAUCAGCUUUGUAAUUGGAGCAUGAUGUCAUCGGAUAGCGCUGUCUGUAGUCCCAACUUCUGCUCCAUUUUCUCCCACAUCUGCCUAACCAAUCGACAUUCAAGGAAACAAUGGGUAAGGAUGUCCUUAUUAUCACAGAACGGGCACUUUGAAGGAAGAUUGAAGCCAAACUGCUGCAGGAUAUCUGGGAAUGGAAGCAUAGAGUUGAGCAAUCUCUACAUGAAGAUCGAUAUCUUGAGUGGUAUCCUCUUGCUCCACAUCAAUCUCCUGGAGACCAUUGAGCUUGAGGGUUGUUGAAGCACUUCUAGCGCGGAGGACAGUUGGAAAGCGCCAUUCGUAGUCAGACACCACACCACCUUAUCCUUACCCUGGCAAAGUCGAGUCUACUUGGCUUAAGUCCCAACCAUUAUCAUGCAAGAAAUCACAAACUCGAAUGUGUGGAAAAGGCACCUGCCUCUUCUGGCCUGCAAGGGGCCUAGAACCAAUCCAAUUGUCAUGCCAGAAUGAGGCUCUACCAUCCCUUAAUAGGCCUUGUAGGUUAUCUUCCACCAAGUCGCAUACUCGUAACAUGUGUUUCCAACUAUAGGAGCUUGAAGGCUUCACCGUAGCUAUAGAGAUAUGCUCAGAUGUAGCAUAUUUGGAGAGCAUGAACUGACACCAAAGAGUGUCGGAAGACCGCAACUUACACCAUAACUUGCAUCUGAAGGCUUUCGCAAUGUCAUCCAGCUCGCAUAGUCCCAACUUGUUUUCGUGCGUGGGUUUGCACAAAUUGCUCCAUUUUGUCCAAUGUCAUUUGUCGCGUCCAUCCACUUCUACUCAGAAAAAGGUGGACAUGACCAUCUCUAAUUGGCACAAAACACUUCUAAACAGUUAUGAGACUGUGAGCGUAUACAAAGGGAUGGCCGCGAGUACGUGCUUGAUUGGAAUUAGGCACCCUCCCGCAAAUAGCAACCUUUUCUUCCACCCAACUAGUUUCCCUCUCAUCCUAUCCACGAUUUGUUCAAAGUGUUCCUUCUUACCUUUACCUUUGAAUAGCUUGCUCCCGAAGUAGAUAAAGGGAAGAUCUUUUUGUUGGAACCUCAUCCAUCGAGCUAUCAACUGCUUCCUAGCCGUUGGGCAUUUGAAAGACAUCAUAAAAAAACUCUUUUCCUUAUUUAUCUUCUGGCAAGAGUCUCUUUGCUACAGCUCCAAAAAAUUCAUUAAGGCUUGAAUAGUGCGUCUUCCUCCCAUAGAGAAAAUAACAAUAUCAUUGGCAAAGGCUAGAUGUGAUAUUAGCAUGCAGCCGCGGCCCAAAUCGAAUGGUUGUACUGACCUUGUCAAGAUCAUGUUCUUCAAACCCCGGUUUAGUGCCUCUGACAUUAAUAUGAAUAGGAAUGGAGAAAGAGGAUCUCCUUGCUUCACAUCUCGGCUCACGUGGAAAAACCCGUAUGGCUUUCCAUUGACAAGGAUUGAGAACCAAGCAGAGGACAUGUUGUUUACAAUCAAGGAGGUAAAUCAAGGAUGGAUGCCGAACCGGUUCAUCAAGAGUGACAAGAAAUCCCAUGAGACAUAGUUGAACGCCUUCAUCAUGUCGAGCUUGAGCAUAACGUUGUGUCCCUUAACCUUUUUGUCUAUCGAAUUAACUAGUUCCUGUGCAAGCAAGAAGUUAUUCAAGAUCUCCAUACCACUGACGAAUAUCGAUUGCUUUGGAGAGAUGAGAGUAGGCAAAACAUUUUUUAAUCGAUUACCAAGAAUUUUAGUGAACACCUUGUUGAUGAAUGUGCACAGGCUAAUCGACCUAAAAUCCACAAAUGUCGUCGGGGAUUCCUUUUUUUUGGAUUAGUAUCAUGAGAGUGCUCACAAUGCCUUUAGGGAGUGGAACACCACACAUAAAUUCUCGAGCAGCCUGAAGAACAUCGGUCGCAAUUAUAUCCCAGCAAUGAGUGUAAAACCAUCCUGCAAACCCAUCACAACCAGCUGCACUACUACCAUCUAGUUCAAAAAUUGGUUUUUUAACUUCCUUAAGUGAGACUUUAGUUAGAAGUUGACUAUUCUAUUCAGGCGUUAUAAGAGCAAGAAUAUUAUUAAGCAAUUCCAUAGAUGCUAGGUUGUCUAUGGCCGAGGGCUCUGCCAACAAGGACUUGAAAAAAUCCACAGCUGCAGUACCAAUGGCUUUAUCGCUCUCAAUGGUGCUCCUAUUCUGGUUUUUGAUUCUUCUAAUAGCAAGCUGCGAUCUCUUGUCCAUUAGAGAGGAGUGGCAAUAUUUUGUGUUUGCAUCUCCUUCUUUUAACCACUUAAUUCUAGCUUUUUGUCGCCAAAAAUCUCUUUAUCUGCCAAGUGUUUCAGCAGAGCUGCAUGAGCUUGACUCCAUUGUAGGCGCGUUUCACAAGUGUCCUCUCUUUCUAGCUGUAGUUCUUUUAGCCUAACAUUUUCUUCAGCUUUAGCUACAUUAUCGAAGAUAUUCCCAAAAGUGGUCUUAUUCCAUACUCGUAAAUCAAGCUUUAACCUCUUCAGUUUUGUGACCAAAAGAGGCAUUCCGUAACCUGGAGUCGACUGAGUCCAAUUGCGUCGGACCAUAUCUAAGAAGCUAGUGUGUUUGAUCCACAUUUGUUGAAAUCAGAAUGAUCGAGUCCCAGAGCUGGAAAGCGGCUGGAGCUGCAAUAAUAAAGGGUUGUGGUACGAGGUUGCACGGUUAAGAUGCUGGACAGCGGAGUUUGGGAAGAGGCGCUGCCAUUCUAUGUUCAUAAGGAUGGGGCUCGUCCCAAGUACUCGUCAAUGGAUGCAACAACAUUGAAGUCACCACCUAUCAACCAUGGCUUGGACACCAGGUUACUCGAUAGGGCAACCAAAUCCAACCAUAGAGAUCUUCUUUCAAUGCUUGAGCAUUUCACAUAGAUAAACGAGCAAUAAGACACACAGUUCCAGGACUCGUGCAUGAGCGCUAAAUGGAUAUAUUGAUCUACAUUAACAAUAACAUCUACCGGCAGCCCACGCUUCCACAUUACCCAAAUCUUAUUGGAAACAUUACAAACCCGUAGGUUGAAACGAAGCUUUGAUGUGGAGCUGUCCAAUUGAUCAGGCUUAACCAUAGGCUCUAAGACUACUAAUAACGAUACUAAAUACAAUCUUGUUAACUUCUUUAAUUGACGAAUAGAGUCUCGACUAGCGAUGCCCCAUACGUUCUAGACUAUAGCGUAAAUCAUGAUAGGAUUGGGAGAGAGCUUCUAAAGUUACCUUUGAAGAUAGCCUUGACACUACUGCCUUGGGUAAGUAUAAAAAUGGCCUCCGUCACCCGUGCUUAGAUGAGGGUGCCACCUUCUGGGGAAUUGGAAAAAGAUGAUCAACUUGUUUCUUGAACCGAAUGAAAUCCUCCAUUUGUAGGUCACGUGGCUUGCUGCGCUGUUUUUAUCCCUCAACAUCCGACAGUGAGUCCAGGCUUCCGCACUGCAAGGAGAGUAGUUGGUGGUCAUCCAUAAGGGUAUUGGCUAGACUAUUGUGGUUAGGUAGGAGUGGUUUCUAUGGGUCAUAUCAAUCUUCCAAUAACCGCUGCUGUACCUCCUCUCUGUGCAGCGAAGAUGAUGCUUGUUGCAGCUUGCUCUGGCAUUGUUUUUCUGGUAUUGGCAGUGCUGCUAUUUUCGUUUGUGUGACCAAGCAUAGCUUGUUCGUCCAUGUGGAUUGUUCCUGAGGAUCGCUCUGGACAUGUUCCUAGUCCUUAGCCACCUGCGCAGUCUCCUGGUAUAGGUGGGGGGCCUGUCCUUAGGCCUGUGGAUUGGCCAAUAAUUGCGUGUUAAUAGUAUAUUAUCACCUGAUCAUUAGCCAGCAACUCUUUCUCUUUUGCCAAGGGGUGGUUCACCUCCAUCAAGUGGUUAUGGGUUUCCCUUGGGACCCAGAUUCUCUGCUACCCCAACUCUUGUCACAGAUUUUCAUCUUUGUUGCUAGGCUGUUUCAGUGCGUCGUUCAACUGUCUACAUAAUUUGUCUGAGUGACCCAACUUCCUGCAAUGCUUAUAGUAAUCAGGUAGGUUUUCAUAAUCGAUUCGCUACCAGAAUCCCAUGGAGCCAUUCCGAAUCUAUACUCAUUCAGGAAAGGGUCAUAAUAGGUCCACUUCAACACAAAUUCUAGCCACGCUUGGCCUAGCUAGUGUCGUUGUCGACGCAUCCAUGCAUAGGGGCUCCCCAAUCAAUUUUGCAAUGGAGAAUAAAGGCCUUUGUUAAAAAAGUGGAUUGGGAGGCAAUGCAGAUGGAUCUAAAUGGGAACAACCGAGAAUUCAGUGUCAACUGAAAAAUUCAGAGAUCAUUUAAAAACUCGCAUACCAAAUCCUUGAAAGGACCAGAAGCCCUGCAGCCAGUAUCUAUGAAAGUCGUUUUCUAAUUUGAAAUGGAUUAGAACAUGUCUUGUAUCAAGGAGUCCCAAGGAUAAAGGACCCUUGAAUCCAAUAGUGACGAAGUCCUUUCAGAGGGCUUUCAUUGAUGGCCGCCCCUUGGAGAAUUUUCCAACAAAAGCAAACUUGAAGGGAGCAGACAGGAGCUGGAUAUCAUCAUCCGAGAAGGAGACUGCUAGCUCUCUCCUUUAUAAUUCAUGAGGCUUGAGGCAAGAGGUGGCCGUUAGGGCAGAGUUCUAAGUGAUGUUUGUGUAAUUGAUCUUUAGAUGUAAGUGAUGUAAUUGGCCGUUAUCAUGGUAUCUUAAGUAUGAAUAGUUAUACUUUAUUUGUUAUAUGAUUACUCCCAUAAUAAGGAAUACUCACAUUAUUAGCAAAUGAGUAUAUACAUGAAGUAUGGAAAGACGGUGAAUAACCUAAAACGAUUUGUCACCUCUUAUAGAAGAAGAAUUAUCUCAUGUCUGGCUACUUAUAGAAGAGUAACUCAGAAUUCUUCGCAAAAUUUGUUAUCUGCACAAAUUUUUUUUUCUGAGGGCUCGUCUGUACAACUUCAAAUGGCAUUAAAUGCAUAGAUAUUGUGGAAUACAAGAAGCUGUUACAUGAUUUUCUUGCGGUAAGUUUGUCUUACUUGGGUUAUGGUCUGUGGUUUUCUUUUAAGUUAUUUUACACAAUACGGGCAAUCUUUCAUUUGGAUUGCAUUUUUUAGGGAGUUUCCAGGGGAAAAAUUACUGUGGCAUUUUUUAAGGAUGUGAUGUAGAUAAUGUAAAAAGUGAUUGGAAAUUAUGUACAAGGAAUAUUUACAGAAAAUAACAAAAUUUUUUGUGUAGAAAAAACACAACCCAAACGGGGUUAUUUCAUUCGUAACAAUGAAUGUUGUUGUAUUGAAAUUUUUUAUAAUGAAAUUGCUUCUUCUUAAUCUGGAUAAAUGAAUUUGAAAAUCGUUAAUUAUAUGCUUAAAUUGACUUUAUUGUGAAAAAUCACAUGCUUAAACUUAUCCAUUGUAGAACUUGUUACGAGACCAUGAAUUAUUUAUUCUUAUUGAACUUUAGUUUGAUGCUUAAUUCGGCAAUCUGCAUCUUAGAGAUAGCAUCAUCUACGAAUUAAGUCAAUACUAGUCAUAAUGAAAAGGUUAAAAGAAAAUUACAAAACUUAUAGAAUUUGAGGUUAAAAAGUGAUACUAACUUUUUUUUUACGUUGUAGAGAAAUUAAUUUUUAUUAGAAUUAUAUUAUACUUUUCCCAUGAGAGUUUUUGCUCUCUGUGGGCACUUCUUUGUGAAUGCAAGUUUCCUUCUUCCCUAAAACUCUAGUGGAAGUUUUUUCAACUGCUUCUCUCUCAACCUUUUGUAACGAUCACACCUCCCCUUAGGGCGAACCCAAGGGUUUGGUGAACCGCCUACCUAACUCUCGCCAUGACUCGCUUACUCACUUCCAUAAAACGAGUUACAAAUUCAAAAGUAAAUGAAACAACAGUUCCCAAACUUAGAAUGUACAUUUACCUAGUUCUAUCUCAAACAUUCAUACAUUUUCCAAUAUAACAAAAGAUUCAAAUUCUAGAUAACUUUCAACCCUAAUUGAGCACUAGUGCAAGUACAAUUACAAAAGUCAAAAACUAGACAUCACCAGUCUGUACCAACCUCACGCCUAUGCUCGUACCCCCUGUAAGGAAAACAAAACUAAUAGGGUGAGUCAAAACUCAGUGAGGUUCCAAAACAUCAAGCGAGUUGACCAUUGUAUAAAAUUUGAAAUAUUAAAUUAGUGAGUAUAAAAGUUCAUAAAAGUGAGCAAUAACACUUCAAGUAGCAAAUUAGAUAAAUAUCCAACAUUUUCAAGUAUAAGGAUACAGUCGCUUUUGCGAGCCAACUCGGCCAUAGCUUGCCAGGAAGUAGUCGACCCGAAGGAAGGAAGAGAUUUAGGAAUUCAAUUUACACUUCUAGCUACAUAAAAGGAACUCUAACUCCUUUGAAGGCAAGGAAAUUCCCCCGUUCGUGUUGAAAUCCUAAGGAUCUAGAGGAGGGGAUGGGUUGUAACCAGUCCAGUAGAGCACUACUUAACUCUAAUCUUCAUCCACCAUCCAACCCCCUACCGGGCCCGGAUUCCAAUAUAAACAGUGGUGGUAAUACUUGAGCAUACCAAUUAGUCGAAAAGAUAACACUCCACUCGACAGAACAGGAGACCCAGGGUUCGUUAUUUAAUCGACUAGGCCCUUGUCGGCUCGACUUGAUUAACUAGCCAUAGGAUUUUUAGAAUUCUAGAUAGUAUUCAAGUCAUAUACAUGUAUAUUAAGUCAAUUGUAAUCAAUGCACAGUAAUAAGUCACAUAAGGGCAAGUGCGAUAAAGUACACCCUUACCCGACUAAAUAAGUCAAGUAUUAUUCAAUUGUAUUAGCAAAUCAUUUCAUUCAAGGAUCAAGUUCAAUCAUGUACUGGAAAACAUUCACCAAUGAUUUAUUGCUUUUCAAGACCAAGUUCAGGUUCAACUCCCUGGCUGGAGCCUAAAUCUGUGGUAAACUACCGUUUAACAGCUUGCAAUCAAUUAGGGUUUCAAAAUAUAGGAGUUUCGCUUAAAGAAAACUAAGUAAAUAGAACUCAUUUAAGUAGUACUCGUUUUACUUACUAAACCCUAGAAAAUUCGUGCUCGUUCUUUUGGUUUCGAUAAAGAAGCGGUUAAAACUUUUAAGUUCGCAACUUGGUAUAAGAAACUAGGAAAUCUUGUUUAAAGUGGUCGUUACUUUGUCUUUGAAAAAUAUACACUUUUGAGCAAAAUUUUAGCUUAUAAGUCACCCAUAAGGCCAACCUAAGCAUCUCUACAUAACUAAGUCCCGAAUUGAGUACAAGUCACAUCCCUAUUUCUGCUUUCACUCACUUAUCCCAGGAGAGGAAAAACGGUCAGCAUUUCCUUUGUGUUUACCUAAUUUUUCAGCCAUUUCAAGGCUACAUCUUCACCCCAAAUCAACAUCACAAGUAAUAAGAUAAAAGUAGCUCUUAAUCUAGGCCAUAAACCUUCCAAUUAAAGCUCGCUUCUAGCAUAUAUACAUCACAAUAUCAAAGCUGAAAAAUCUCUAAUAAAGCUAGAAUUUCCUAUUUAAAAGCUAAAAAGUCACAAUAAGGCCACAAUCAUCACACAAGUCCAUUACCAAGCUCAAUAUGAACAUAUCAUGGAUAAAAAACAUAAAUCAAGGCAGAAAAAUCAUAAACCCUAGGCUGAUUUUUCACUAAUCUUCACCAAAUCCAGAUUAUCAUCCAUAAAAUUCCAAGUUUCAAGUCAUCUUCACCAUAUUUUACAAGAAUAAGAAAGAGAAAGGAAGUUGUUCAUUUUAUACCUUCACCCCUUGAAGAAAAUGAAGAAACCAAGGCUUCCUUUCCAAAAACUCUCCACUACAAGCUUCCUUGGUGUGAGUUUGUUCGGUUUAGUUUUGUGAUUCUAACUUAAACAAGGCAAGAAUCAAGAUCCAAAUGGAAGUUUCUCUCCUUUCUUUUCUCUCCUAGUGGUUCGGCCAUGACAAGAAGAAAUGGAGGGAAAUUGGCCAAAAGAAAGAUAAGAAGGAAAGAAAGUUACUUUGGUCAAACUUGUCUUGGAUUGCCAACACUUGGCAGCCAAGUUUUUUUUUCUUUUCUUUCCUUUUCUUAGUCAACAAUUUCGGCCAUCUUUAGGGUUAGAUUAAGGGAGGAUUAAAUGAAACAAAAACAAGGAGAUUGGGGUAAGAAAGUAUUGGUCAAGUGGCGUACUCAACCGGUAACAAACGGCACACGUCGGUUCAAGUAUACUUUCUUAACUCUCUUGCACUUUUGUUUUAACUUAUGAUUCAUUAACUUAUUUUUAGCACGUAUAAUCACAUAUUUUCUCUUACUUAAUAUCCACUCUUAUCCACCAAAUUUAGUACACACACCUCAUCAAGUGAUCACACUACCAAAAUGCACAAAAAACCCUAACUUACGCCAUUCCUUUAGAAAAAUCAUAACUUGAGUUAUAAAUGUCAAAAAUUCAUACAACUUGGCCUGUUAAAAACUAGACUUGAAACACUAAUAAUCUUUAGAAGAUACCUUAAAGAGAUUCAGUUCAUAAGUUGGUCCAAAUUGAGUUGUAAGCUACUAUAACAUUCCUAUUUUUACUUGUGCAGGGCAGAAUUUUCAGUCAACUUUGCCGAUUUUCUGGUAUUUAUAGAAAUUGAAUCAAACUUUGAAUUUUAUACCGUAGGAAGCUCUAUGAGCCUAGUUUCAAAUGCAACAAACGAAACUCAAUUCCAACUUUUCUAUACGAAAUUAUAGUCAAUUUCCCAAAACUGCGUAGAGCCUCCUGCGAAAAUUUCUAGAUUUUCUAAUAAUUUGAGAAAAUGAAACUUUUAUUAACAAAAUUCACUUCCUUGGCACAAAUUCAACAUACAUGUGAAGAUUAAGGUUUAACAAAGUAUCUUAAACAAAAACCUUGCCAAAAUCAUCAUAAAAUGACUAAUAUUUCCACAUAGAAGCAUAUAUCAAACUCACCAUAAAUCUCCCCAUCAAGCUACUAAGGUUUUCAUGAAAUGUACCUAAUCCUUCCUCUUUAUAAUAUGAAGAGACAUCUAGCAUGAUUCUUAACCAAGAAAUCCACCAAAUGUAUCGUACAUAUCUCACUUGUCGGUUACACCAGUAUCGUGCACUAUGAAACUUAACAUGCAUCCAAUUAAGCAUGCACCAAGUUGAAUAAUAUAAUGGAAGAAAAAUCAUGAUUGAACUAUUAAAGCAACCAAGAAUUUAAGGCAAGUAAGUUCAAAUAAGAUUUAUAAAGACAAGUAAAAUUUCGGGACCUCGCACCUUUUCACUAACACCUCUCUCAAUUACAUCUAAUACUCAUAUCAUUCGUAUUCCGUUCUACCUUUUCUCAUUAUUAACUAUGAUUCUCUUCUUUGCUUUAAUUUCUUUUAUUAUCCUUUUUUUCAUAGUUCUUCCUUCCAUUUUCCUUAGUUUUUCUACCUCUAGCCUUAUCUGUUCCUAGCUUUUAUUUCUUUUGUGAUUUGUAGGUUUUCAGAUUGUGAAGAAUUUUGUUUGUGUAGACAACUUCCUCUACUCUGAAAAGGAUUGUCUUCUUUCCUCCAGUACAAUGGCUAAGGAAUUAGAAAAGAUGUGCCAAAAUUUAAGCUUAUGUGAAGAUGAGGAAGAAGUAAUGCUGAUGCUGGGGAACAAAGAUGGUGAGGACAAUUUCCAGGGUGACUUAUGCAUCCUUGGUAAACUUCUUACUCGAAAGCCUUUCAAUGGAGAAGCAAUGAUGGCUAUCAUGAAGAAAGCUUAGAAUCCAU